GCCUGUAAGACUGGGAUAACUCCGGGAAACCGGGGCUAAUACCGGAUGGUUGUUUGAACCGCAUGGUUCAAACAUAAAAGGUGGCUUCGGCUACCACUUACAGAUGGACCCGCGGCGCAUUAGCUAGUUGGUGAGGUAACGGCUCACCAAGGCAACGAUGCGUAGCCGACCUGAGAGGGUGAUCGGCCACACUGGGACUGAGACACGGCCCAGACUCCUACGGGAGGCAGCAGUAGGGAAUCUUCCGCAAUGGACGAAAGUCUGACGGAGCAACGCCGCGUGAGUGAUGAAGGUUUUCGGAUCGUAAAGCUCUGUUGUUAGGGAAGAACAAGUACCGUUCGAAUAGGGCGGUACCUUGACGGUACCUAACCAGAAAGCCACGGCUAACUACGUGCCAGCAGCCGCGGUAAUACGUUAGGUUGGCAAAGCGUUGUCCCGGGAAUUAUUUGGGCGUAAAAGGGCUCGCAGGCGGGUUUUCUUAAGUCUGAUGUGAAAGCCCCCCGGCUCAACCCGGGGAGGGUCAUUGGAAACUGGGGAACUUGAGUGCAGAAGAGGGAGGAGUGGAAUUCCACGUGUAGCGGUGAAAUGCGGUAGAGAUGUGGGAGGAACACCAGUGGCGAAGGCGACUCUCUGGUCUGUAAACUGACGCUGAGGAGCGAAAGCGUGGGGAGCGAACAGGAUUAGAUACCCUGGUAGUCCACGCCGUAAACGAUGAGUGCUAAGUGUUAGGGGGUUUUCCGCCCCUUAGUGCUGCAGCUAACGCAUUAAGCACUCCGCCUGGGGAGUACGGUCGCAAGACUGAAACUCAAAGGAAUUGACGGGGGGCCCGCACAAGCGGUGGAGCAUGUGGUUUAAUUCGAAGCAACGCGAAGAACCUUACCAGGUCUUGACAUCCUCUGACAAUCCUAGAGAUAGGACGUCCCUCUUCGGGGGCAGAGUGACAGGUGGUGCAUGGUUGUCGUCAGCUCGUGUCGUGAGAUGUUGGGUUAAGUCCCGCAACGAGCGCAACCCUUGAUUUUAGUUGCCAGCAUUCAGUUGGGCACUUUAAGGUGACUGCCGGUGACAAACCGGAGGAAGGUGGGGAUGACGUCAAAUCAUCAUGCCCCUUAUGACCUGGGCUACACACGUGCUACAAUGGACAGAACAAAGGGCAGCGAAACCGCGAGGUUAAGCCAAUCCCACAAAUCUGU
rnacentral:rRNA from 1 species